AACUCAAAGGAAUUGACGGGGGCCCGCACAAGCGGUGGAGCAUGUGGUUUAAUUCGAAGCAACGCGAAGAACCUUACCAGGUCUUGACAUCCUCUGAAAACCCUAGAGAUAGGGCUUCUCCUUCGGGAGCAGAGUGACAGGUGGUGCAUGGUUGUCGUCAGCUCGUGUCGUGAGAUGUUGGGUUAAGUCCCGCAACGAGCGCAACCCUUGAUCUUAGUUGCCAUCAUUAAGUUGGGCACUCUAAGGUGACUGCCGGUGACAAACCGGAGGAAGGUGGGGAUGACGUCAAAUCAUCAUGCCCCUUAUGACCUGGGCUACACACGUGCUACAAUGGACAAUACAAAGGGCAGCGAAACCGCGAGGUCAAGCAAAUCCCAUAAAGUUGUUCUCAGUUCGGAUUGUAGUCUGCAACUCGACUACAUGAAGCUGGAAUCGCUAGUAAUCGUAGAUCAGCAUGCUACGGUCAAUACGUUCCCGGGUCUUGUACACACCGCCCGUCACACCACGAGAGUUUGUAACACCCGAAGCCGGUGGAGUAACCAUUUGGAGCUAGCCGUCGAAGGUGGGACAAAUGAUUGGGGUGAAGUCGUAACAAGGUAGCCGUAUCGGAAGGUGCGGCUGGAUCACCUCCUUUCUAUGGA
rnacentral:rRNA from 1 species